rnacentral:misc_RNA from 1 species
CCGAGUUUACAACUCCCAAACCCAUGUGAACCAUACCACUGUUGCCUCGGCGGGAUCACGCCCGGUGCGUCCCCCGGUAACCAGGGCGCCCGCCAGAGGGACCACCUAAACUCUUCUGUAGUCCCUCCUACUUAUUUUACAGCUCUGAGUCAAAAAUUCAAAAUGAAUCA